rnacentral:rRNA from 1 species
UGUAAGCGUAUACCAAAGUUGUUGCAGUUAAAACGCUCGUAGUCGGAAUUUGGCAGUUCCGGAAGUGUGCACGUCGUGUGCGCACUUUGCGGGGACUGCUUUCGUGGUCUUGCGUAGGAUGAGGCACUUUCAUUAGUGAACGUCCUCACGCAACCACUCUUUACUGUGAGAAAAUCAGAGUGCUCAAAGCAGGCAUUUGCCGUGAAUGUAUUAGCAUGGAAUAAUAGAAUAGGACUCGGUUCUAUUUUGUUGGUUUGUUGGGACUGAGUAAUGAUUAAGAGGGACAGUUGGGGGCAUUUGUAUUCCGGCGCUAGAGGUGAAAUUCUUAGAUUGCCGGAAGACAAACUGCUGCGAAAGCGUCUGCCAAGGAUGUUUUCAUUGA